rnacentral:rRNA from 1 species
GGCGCACGGGUGCGUAACGCGUAUGCAACCUACCUUUCACAGGGGGGAUAGCCCGAAGAAAUUUGGAUUAAUACCCCAUAAUAUUAUUGGAUGGCAUCAUUUGAUAAUUAAAACUGCGGUGGUGAAAGAUGGGCAUGCGUCCUAUUAGCUAGUUGGAGUGGUAACGGCACCCCAAGGCUACGAUAGGUAGGGGUCCUGAGAGGGAGAUCCCCCACACUGGUACUGAGACAGGGACCAGACUCCUACGGGAGGCAGCAGUGAGGAAUAUUGGUCAAUGGUCGGAAGACUGAACCAGCCAUGCCGCGUGCAGGAAGAAUGCCUUAUGGGUUGUAAACUGCUUUUAUAUGGGAAGAAUAAGGCGUACGUGUACGUUGAUGACGGUACCAUAUGAAUAAGCAUCGGCUAACUCCGUGCCAGCAGCCGCGGUAAUACGGAGGAUGCGAGCGUUAUUCGGAAUCAUUGGGUUUAAAGGGUCUGUAGGCGGGCUAUUAAGUCAGGGGUGAAAGGUUUCAGCUUAACUGAGAAAUUGCCUUUGAUACUGGUAGUCUUGAAUAUCUGUGAAGUUCUUGGAAUGUGUAGUGUAGCGGUGAAAUGCUUAGAUAUUACACAGAACACCGAUUGCGAAGGCAGGGGACUAACAGACAAUUGACGCUGAGAGACGAAAGCGUGGGGAGCGAACAGGAUUAGAUACCCUGGUAGUCCACGCUGUAAACGAUGGAUACUAGCUGUUUGGCGCAAGCUGAGUGGCUA